rnacentral:rRNA from 1 species
GGUCUUGACAUCCCGAUGCUAUUCUAGAGAUAGAAGUUACUUCGGUACAUCGGUGACAGGUGGUGCAUGGUUGUCGUCAGCUCGUGUCGUGAGAUGUUGGUUAAGUCCCGCAACGAGCGCAACCCCUAUUGUUAGUUGCCAUCAUUCAGUUGGGCACUCUAGCGAGACUGCCGGUAAUAAACCGGAGGAAGGUGGGGAUGACGUCAAAUCAUCAUGCCCCUUAUGACCUGGGCUACACACGUGCUACAAUGGUUGGUACAACGAGUUGCGAGUCGGUGACGGCGAGCUAAUCUCUUAAAGCCAAUCUCAGUUCGGAUUGUAGGCUGCAACUCGCCUACAUGAAGUCGGAAUCGCUAGUAAUCGCGGAUCAGCACGCCGCGGUGAAUACGUUCCCGGGCCUU